AGGACGAACGCUGGCGGCGUGCUUAACACAUGCAAGUGGAGCGACGAACCAGGGCUUGCCCUGGGGCAGAGCCGCGAACGGGUGAGUAACACGUGGGUUAUCUGCCUCGAUGACCGGGACAACCCGAGGAAACUCGGGCUAAUACCGGAUGUGCCCGCAAGGGGAAAGGAAGCUUCGGCCUCCGCAUCGAGAUGAGCCCGCGGCCCAUUAGCUUGUUGGUGAGGUAACGGCUCACCAAGGCUUCGAUGGGUAGCUGGUCUGAGAGGACGAUCAGCCACACUGGGACUGAGACACGGCCCAGACUCCUACGGGAGGCAGCAGUGGGGAAUCUUGCGCAAUGCGCGAAAGCGUGACGCAGCAAACGCCGCGUGGGGAAGAAGGCUUUCGGGUUGUAAACCCCUUUCAGUUGGGACGAAGCUUCUUCGGUGAAUAGCCGAACGGAGUGACGGUACCUUCACAAGAAGCACCGGCUAACUACGUGCCAGCAGCCGCGGUAA
rnacentral:rRNA from 1 species